GUCAGGUGCAGUGGCGCGUGCCUGCAGUCCCAGCUACUCAGGAGGCUGAGGUGGGAGGAUCGCUUGAGGCCAGGAGUUCUGGGCUGUAUGCGCUGUGCCGAUCGGGUGCCCCCACUGAGUUUUGCAUCAAUAUGGUGACGUCCCAGGAGCGGGGGACCACCAGGUUGCCUAAGGAGGGGUGAACUGACCCAGGGCAGAAACAGAGCAGGUCAAAACUCCCGUGCUGAUCAGUAGUGGGAUCGCGCCUGUUAAUAGCCACUGCUCUCCAGCCUGGGCAACAUAGCAAUACCCCGUCCCU
rnacentral:SRP_RNA from 1 species